ACUCCUACGGGAGGCAGCAGUGGGGAAUAUUGCACAAUGGGCGCAAGCCUGAUGCAGCCAUGCCGCGUGUAUGAAGAAGGCCUUCGGGUUGUAAAGUACUUUCAGCAGUGAGGAAGGUGGGUAUGUUAAUAGCAUACUCAUUUGACGUUAGCUGCAGAAGAAGCACCGGCUAACUCCGUGCCAGCAGCCGCGGUAAUACGGAGGGUGCGAGCGUUAAUCGGAAUUACUGGGCGUAAAGCGCAUGCAGGUGGUUUGUUAAGUCAGAUGUGAAAGCCCGGGGCUCAACCUCGGAAUUGCAUUUGAAACUGGCAAACUAGAGUACUGUAGAGGGGGGGUAGAAUUUCAGGUGUAGCGGUGAAAUGCGUAGAGAUCUGAAGGAAUACCGGUGGCGAAGGCGGCCCCCUGGACAGAUACUGACACUCAGAUGCGAAAGCGUGGGGAGCAAACAGGAUUAGAUACCCUCGUAGGCUCUGC
rnacentral:rRNA from 1 species